GAAGCCCGCCAGACCACCGCUGGUGCAAUCUGGGAAACCAGGCACUGGAGGAACGUCCGGACUGCAUAGGGCAGCGUAGCAGUUAACGACUGUCCACCGACAAGCUGUGCACGCAAGUGCAUGGCCCUAAGGUGAGGAUUAGAGCAACAGAGACGAGCCGCUUAAGUGCGGGUGAAACGGGCAAUCUCUACGCGCAGCAAUACCAAGUAGGCCAACGUUGACGGGGCCCCCGGAGUUGGCGGGUAGGUAGCAUCGAGCCGUUUGGGUGACCAGCGGCCCAGAGUAAUGGUGGUCACGUGCGGGGAAACCCGCACGCACAGAAUCCGGCUUAUCGGUGGGCUUCACAC
rnacentral:RNase_P_RNA from 4 species